GAUGAAGAACGUAGCGAAAUGCGAUAAGUAAUGUGAAUUGCAGAAUUCAGUGAAUCAUCGAAUCUUUGAACGCACAUUGCGCCCUCUGGUAUUCCGGAGGGCAUGCCUGUUCGAGCGUCAUUUCAACCCUCAGGCCCCCCUUCGCGGGCGGGCCUGGUGUUGGGGCCCGGCCGCUACCCUGCGGCCGUCCCCUAAAUUCAGUGGCGGCCUCGCCGUGAUCCCUUGCGUAGUAAUGCACCUCGCACCGGAGAGCGCCGUGGCCACGCCGUAAAACCCCCAAUUUUCAAUGGUUGACCUCGGAUCAGGUGGGAAUACCCGCUGAACUUAAGCAUAUCAAUAAGCGGAGGA
rnacentral:misc_RNA from 1 species